rnacentral:rRNA from 1 species
UACGUAGGUGGCAAGCGUUGUCCGGAAUUAUUGGGCGUAAAGCGCGCGCAGGCGGUCCUUUAAGUCUGAUGUGAAAGCCCACGGCUCAACCGUGGAGGGUCAUUGGAAACUGGGGGACUUGAGUGCAGAAGAGGAAAGCGGAAUUCCCGGUGUAGCGGUGAAAUGCGCAGAUAUCGGGAGGAACACCAGUAGCGAAGGCGGCACUCUGGGCCGGUACUGACGCUGAGGAGCGAAAGCGUGGGGAGCAAACAGG